rnacentral:rRNA from 1 species
AUUGAACGCUGGCGGCAGGCCUAACACAUGCAAGUCGAGCGAGCGGCGGACGGGUGAGUAAUGUCUGGGAAACUGCCUGAUGGAGGGGGAUAACUACUGGAAACGGUAGCUCAUACCGCGUACCAUCACAUGUGCCCAGAUGGGAUUGGCUAGUAGGUGGGGUAAUGGCUCACCAAGGCGACGAUCCCUAGCUGGUCUGAGAGGAUGAUCAGCCACACUGGAACGGAGACACGGUCCAGACUCCUACGGUAGGCAGCAGUGGGGAAUAUUGCAAAAUGGGCGCAAGCCUGAUGCAGCCAUGCCGCGUGUGUGAAGAAGGCCUUCGGGUUGUAAAGUACUUUCAGCGAGGAGGCGUUACUCGCAGAAGAAGCACCGGCUAACUCCGUGCCAGCAGCCGCGGUAAUAC